UCUGGUUGAUCCUGCCUGAACUGAUGUGUUUAUUUCAAAGAUUAAGCCAUGCAUGUAUAAGUUUAAUCGUUUAUCGAGAAACCGCGAACGGCUCAUUAGAAUGGCCAUUAUUUACUUGAUCUUGAUUGUCUAAAUGGAUAACUGUGGAAAAGCUAGAGCUAAUACAUGCACUAAAGCUUUGUCCUUACGGAAAAGCGCAUUUAUUAGAACAAAACCACGCGGCUUCGGCUGCUUCUUGUUGACUCAGAAUAACUUAGCUGACCGCAUGGCCUUGUGCCGGCGGCGUGUCUUUCAAGCGUCCACUUUAUCAACUUGACGGGAGCAUAAUCGACUCCCGUGGUGGUGACGGAUAACGGAGGAUCAGGGUUCGACUCCGGAGAAGGGGCCUGAGAAAUGGCCACUACGUCUAAGGAUGGCAGCAGGCGCGCAAAUUACCCACUCUCGGCUCCAGGAGGUAGUGACGAGAAAUAACGAGACUGUUCUCUUUGAGGCCGGUCAUCGGAAUGGGUACAAUUUAAACCCUUUAACGAGUAUCAAGCAGAGGGCAAGUCUGGUGCCAGCAGCCGCGGUAAUUCCAGCUCUGCAAAUACAUAGAAUUAUUGCUGCGGUUAGAAAGCUCAUAGUUGGAUUCGUAUCGAUACCUUGGAACCCUUCGGGUGUCUCUAGGUGUUAUCGAUUUAUCGUAAUGUUCGGUUUUGAGUCCUUAACAGGAUUCUUAACAGGCAUUGCAAGUUUACUUUGAACAAAUCAGAGUGCUUCAAACAGGCGUUUUCGCUUGAAUGAUCGUGCAUGGAAUAAUAGAAAAUGAUUUCGGUUCAGUUUUAUUGGUUUUACGGACUGAGAUAAUGGUUAACAGAGACAAACGGGGGCAUUUGUAUGGUCCCGUGAGAGGUGAAAUUCUUGGACCGUGGCCAGACAAACUACAGCGAAAGCAUUUGCCAAGAAUGUUUUUAUUAAUCAAGAACGAAAGUCAGAGGUUCGAAGGCGAUCAGAUACCGCCCUAGUUCUGACCGUAAACGAUGCCAACUAGCGAUCCGCCGAUGGAAAUUAUAUUGCCUUGGUGGGGAGCUUCCCGGAAACGAAAGUCUUCCGGUUCCGGGGGAAGUAUGGUUGCAAAGCUGAAACUUAAAGGAGUUGACGGAAGGGCACCACAGGAGUGGAGCCUGCGGCUUAAUUUGACUCAACACGGGGAAACUCACCCGGCCCGGACACUGUGAGGAUUGACAGAUUGAUAGCUUUUUCAUGAUUCAGUGGAUGGUGGUGCAUGGCCGUUCUUAGUUCGUGGAGUGAUUUGUCUGGUUUAUUCCGAUAACGAGCGAGACUCUAACCUACUAAAUAGUUGGUACAUACUCUUAGUGUAUACAGCUUCUUAGAGGGAUUUGCGGCGUUCAGCCGAAAGAAAUUGAGCAAUAACAGGUCUGUGAUGCCCUUAGAUGUCCGGGGCUGCACGCGCGCUACACUGGCAAAAUCAACGUGCUUGUCCUACCCUGAAAGGGGCGGGUAAACCAUUGAAAAUUUGCCGUGAUUGGGAUCGGAAAUUGCAAUUAUUUUCCGUGAACGAGGAAUUCCAAGUAAGUGCGAGUCAUCAGCUCGCGUUGAUUACGUCCCUGCCCUUUGUACACACCGCCCGUCGCUGCCCGGGACUGAGCCAUUUCGAGAAAUUUGGGGACCGUUGAUUUAAUUUUUCUAAAUUACUUUGAUGGAAACCAAUUUAAUCGCAGUGGCUUGAACCGGGCAAAAGUCGUAACAAGGUAGCUGUAGGUGAACCUGCUGCUG
rnacentral:rRNA from 1 species